rnacentral:rRNA from 1 species
CCGGGACACACGUGUUACAAUGGCAGGUACAGGGGGGUGGCUACCGGGUGACCGGAUGCCGAUCUCGAAAACCUGUCCCAGUUCGGACUGGAGUCUGCAACCCGACUCCACGAAGUUGGAUUCGCUAGUAAUCGCGCAUCAGCCAUGGCGCGGUGAAUACGUUCCCGGGCCUUGUACACACCGCCCGUCAAGCCAUGGGAGCCGGGGGCGCCUGAAGUCCGGGACCGCGAGGACCGGCCUAAGGCGAAACUGGUGACUGGGGCUAAGUCGUAACAAGGUAUC